UAUAGGGGUGCUGGGCCACAACCUCUGUGGCUGUGGCCGCAAAGGAAGGUGGUGCAUUAGGGUGCGUUAGGGAACCACCUUUUUCUAACAAUUUGUCGAGUUGUAGUGCUUAAGCAACCGACUCGUUGGAUAAAAUCAAAUUGUCAGUUACGAAAAAGAUUGAUUGAAAAUAGCGCCCAAAAACAGUUGACAAUCACUGUUUUGACGUCAUACAUGAAGUGUCAACCAAGUUAACCUCGCUAUGAAGGAUAAAAAGAUUAGCAAGCUUGUUGCUGAUUCAGCAGCGUUCAUCAGAAAUGCGCAAAUGCAGGAUAUUGCUGAUGUCGUUUACACGGUUAGGGAUGUCGUUGACGAAAUUAGAGAUCAAGCUACAAAGCAGAGACUCAGAGUUUUACCUUAUGAAAUAAAAAUGAUGGAACCAUCACCGGUGGUGAUGGACAAUGAAUGAAUGUGAACAAUCGUGUGUUUGAAAACAGAUGGCGAUGUAGGAUACGGUACGCCAAAUAAUCCCAUAUUUUUCAGCAAGUCGGGUAAGGCCAUUUAUUUUGAACGUCACUGAAAUAACCAUUCGUCUGAAGUGCGCCACCGCCAUUGUCACGACGAAUCAUCUUCUUGUCCGGCAAUAGGAUACAGGAAUGGCAUGGUCCCCUUCAGGUGUCGAGCCUGACCUACACCCUCUGUAAUUGAAACGGUAUUGGUACAAGUAAUUACAUGGAGGUAGUGUAAAUUUGGGACUUGAUUUGUCAUCUGUUGGUCAAGGUGGAAAAACAGGGAUUGGAUCAAUAAUUUUAUUCCCACUCACCUUUGGAAUUCUUGGAUGGUAGCUGUUGUUGCAGGACACUCCUUGUUUUGUUAGUGAGGUUUCAGAAAGCAGCAUUCCAAGAGCAAGAAUCUAAUUUACAGGCUGUUAACACAAUCUAGAAUGUUUAACUUUGUUUUCCUGCUUUGAUGGUGAAAUUGAAUUAUAUUGGAAUUUAAAAGUUUUUGAAGCUAUUUUUGCUUACUAGUGAGAAAGCAUAUGUUAAGAGUUGCUGAAAUGUGUGAACAGAGCAAUAUGCAAAACUUUGAUUGAAUUUGACAAAACUACUUCAUUUUUAUAUUUGGAAUAUUUGAGUUUGCUGUGGCAGGAUAAUGGCUAUCAAUGUGGAGAAUUUGAAUUGAAAAUCUUAAUUCUGCAUUAAGUACUUGUUGCCUAUAGAUAAAUAAAUGAUGAUCUAAGUUGG